CGCGUAGGUGGUCUUGUAAGUUUGUGGUGAAAGCCCGGGGCUCAACCCCGGGUCUGCCGCGAAUACUGCGAGACUUGAGUACUGUAGAGGCUGGUAGAAUGCCGGGUGUAGCGGUGGAAUGCGUAGAGAUCCGGCAGAAGACCGGUGGCGAAGGCGGCCAGCUGGGCAGUGACUGACACUGAGGCGCGACAGCGUGGGGAGCAAACAGGAUUAGAUACCCUGGUAGUCCACGCCGUAAACGAUGGGUACUAGGUGCUUGGGGGAGCGACCCCCUGAGUGCCGGCGCUAACGCAGGAAGUACCCCGCCUGGGGAGUACGGCCGCAAGGCUGAA
rnacentral:rRNA from 1 species